CGUUCGUCAGCGACGGAACCGAUGGGAAGGCUGUGUCGUCCCAGGGCGUUCGAGUUGGCGCACGGGUGAGUGACGCGUAGGGAUAUGCCAGAUAGUGGGGGAUAGCCCGGAGAGAUCCGAUGCAUACCGCAUAAUCUCCAUGGAGUAAAGAGCGCGUCACUUUAUGAGCCUUGCGCUAUCAGAUGAGCCUGCGUCAGAUUAGCUAGUUGGUGGGGUAAUGGCUUACCAAGGCGACGAUCUUUAGCUGGUCUGAGAGGAUGAUCAGCCACACUGGGACUGAGACACGGCCCAGACUCCUACGGGAGGCAGCAGUGGGGAAUAUUGGACAAUGGGGGCAACCCUGAUCCAGCAAUACCGCGUGGUGUGAAGAAGGCCUGAGGGUUGUAAAGCACUUUCGAAUUGUGAAGAAAGAGUUAAUAGUUAAUACCUAUUAGCCAUGACGUUAACCUUUAGAAGAAGCACCGGCUAACUCCGUGCCAGCAGCCGCGGUAUACGGAGGGUGCAAGCGUUAAUCGGA
rnacentral:rRNA from 1 species